AAGGACGUAGCAAUACGGACUGGCGCACGGGUGCGGAACACGUAGGUAAUCUGCCCUUUAGGGAAGAACAACCCGUCGAAAGACGGGCUAAAACUUCGUAACAUCGAGAACCGGCAUCGGUUUUCGAUCAAGCUUUCUAAAGGAUGAGCCUGCGUCUGAUUAGCUAGUUGGCGGGGUAACGGCCCACCAAGGCUACGAUCAGUAGCUGGUCUGAGAGGAUGAUCAGCCACAUUGGGACUGAGAUACGGCCCAGACUCCUACGGGAGGCAGCAGUGAGGAAUAUUGCUCAAUGGGGGAAACCCUGAAGCAGCAACGCCGCGUGAGGGAUGAAGGGGCUUCGCCUUGUAAACCUCUGUAGUCGGGGACAAAACUGGGGUUACUACCCCAUUNGAUGGUACCCGAAAAGUAAGGAUCGGCUAACUACGUG
rnacentral:rRNA from 1 species